rnacentral:rRNA from 1 species
ACGGGAGGCAGCAGUAGGGAAUCUUCGGCAAUGGGGGCAACCCUGACCGAGCAACGCCGCGUGAGUGAAGAAGGUUUUCGGAUCGUAAAGCUCUGUUGUAAGUCAAGAACGGGUGUGAGAGUGGAAAGUUCACACUGUGACGGUAGCUUACCAGAAAGGGACGGCUAACUACGUGCCAGCAGCCGCGGUAAUACGUAGGUCCCGAGCGUUGUCCGGAUUUAUUGGGCGUAAAGCGAGCGCAGGCGGUUUGAUAAGUCUGAAGUUAAAGGCUGUGGCUCAACCAUAGUUCGCUUUGGAACUGUCAAACUUGAGUGCAGAA